rnacentral:rRNA from 1 species
AUUAAACGCUGGCGGCAUGCCUUACACAUGCAAGUCGAACGGCAGCACGGGGGCAACCUUGGUGGCGAGUGGCGAACGGGUGAGUAAUAUAUCGGAACGUACCCCGUCGUGGGGGAUAACUAGCCGAAAGGUUAGCUAAUACCGCAUACGACCGAGAGGUGAAAGCGGGGGGACCGCAAGGCCUCGCGCGAUUGGAUGAGCCGACGUCGGAUUAGCUAGUUGGCGGGUAAAGGCCCACCAAGGCGACGAUCCGUAGCUGGUCUGAGAGGAUGAUCAGCCACACUGGAACUGAGACACGGUCCAGACUCCUACGGAGGCAGCAGUGGGGAAUAUUGGACAAUGGGGGAACCCUGAUCCAGCAAUGCCGCGUGUGUGACGAAGGCCUUCGGGUUGACG